UAAACACUUUUUUUGAACAAUAAGUCAAUUAUAUUUGUCAAAGAUUGACCUUGGCUGAGAGCAGAAUUGGAUCAUAAGGAGCUUUUGUCAAUGUCCUCAACAAAAGCACCAUCAGAUUCUGAUACAAGAAUGGUAAAGAAGUACCCUAAACGGCUUAUGGAAGAUGGAAGCGAGCCACAAGUUGGGCAGAUAAAUAACACUUGUCGAAUGUCAAUCUUACACAAAAUCAAGAAGGCAUUACCAGAAGAGUAUGAGAUUGUGAAGGGUGAUCCAUGCAGUAGUGGUAUACACA